rnacentral:rRNA from 1 species
UGGUAAUGCCGGAUGCUCCGACAUGACGCAUGUCGUGUCGGGAAAGAUUCUAUCGGUAUGGGAUGGGGUCGCGUCCUAUCAGCUUGAUGGCGGGGUAACGGCCCACCAUGGCUUCGACGGGUAGCCGGCCUGAGAGGGCGACCGGCCACAUUGGGACUGAGAUACGGCCCAGACUCCUACGGGAGGCAGCAGUGGGGAAUAUUGCACAAUGGGCGCAAGCCUGAUGCAGCGACGCCGCGUGCGGGAUGACGGCCUUCGGGUUGUAAACCGCUUUUGACUGGGAGCAAGCCCUUCGGGGUGAGUGUACCUUUCGAAUAAGCACCGGCUAACUACGUGCCAGCAGCCGCGGUAAUACGUAGGGUGCAAGCGUUAUCCGGAAUUAUUGGGCGUAAAGGGCUCGUAGGCGGUUCGUCGCGUCCGGUGUGAAAGUCCAUCGCUUAACGGUGGAUCCGCGCCGGGUACGGGCGGGCUUGAGUGCGGUAGGGGAGACUGGAAUUCCCGGUGUAACGGUGGAAUGUGUAGAUAUCGG